rnacentral:lncRNA from 1 species
UCUGUUCCAGUUUGAUAUAGAAAUUACUUUUCAAAUUACAUUCCACUAACUUUAUACAUUGUGGGAGACUUUGAAAGGCUGAUUUGUCACUGGUAAUUGAAGUUUCCUACACGGACAAUAGUGUACCAAGUAUCAACUCUUAUCCCGUUCUUCUGUGCCCACUAAAUUUGUAUGUGUAUGUGCAUAUUCGGCUUGCUUAAUUUUGUUCCUAGCUGAACCAUCAUCUUUUAGCUUGUCCUUCUAUGGCCUCCUUUUACUUUGAGAUUUUUCCCAAAUGUGGUUGAGAUCCUAAUUUGUUUGAUUUUUUUAUUGGUUUAAUUAUUAUUUUGAUCUCUAAACUUUAUUCUUUUGACUCUAUACAUAAAGGUUAUGUUUAGCAAUGUAUUUUAGCAAGUUUUUUUUAUUUUUUUUUACUAGUUAAAAAC